UACAGAGGGGGCAAGCGUUGUUCGGAAUUACUGGGCGUAAAGGGCGCGUAGGCGGCCUUCUAAGUCGAACGUGAAAUCCCCGGGCUCAACCCGGGAACUGCGUCCGAUACUGGAAGGCUUGAAUCCGGGAGAGGGAUGCGGAAUUCCAGGUGUAGCGGUGAAAUGCGUAGAUAUCUGGAGGAACACCGGAGGCGAAGGCGGCAUCCUGGACCGGUAUUGACGCUGAGGCGCGAAAGCCAGGGGAGCAAACGGG
rnacentral:rRNA from 1 species